GUUGCUUCUUGGCCUUUUGGCUAAGAUCAAGUGUAGUACAUGGAAAGAUUCUCUUAAAUAUGGUAAUCACUUUUUUUCAGCUAUGAAAAAGUGUUUUGCUCCAUUUCCACAUUGAGAAUGGUUGAAUGAACCAUGC
rnacentral:snRNA from 1 species